ACUUGUCCCUCUCUCCCACCAUCCAGUGGAGGAGAAGGGAAAGAAAAGAAAAGAAAAAAAAAAAAUGGGACACUCAAAGAGUGAUGAAGCAAAGAGUACCACUACCACUGCCACUGAUGACGAAGGGGACCGUCUCAGUGCCCUUCCUUCGGAGCUCCUCCACCAAAUCCUCGCGUUCUUGCCAGACACCAAGUCACGUGCCCGCACGUGCGCCCUAUCCCGCCGUUGGAUCCGCCUCUGGGCAUCCCAUCCGUCCAUCGACCUCCCCCUUCUCUACCACCUUGACCUCGUCGCCGCCGCCACCUCUCACGCCGCCGCCGUCGACGCGGCCCUCUCCGCCGCCUCCCCCGGUACACUCCGUCGACUUGCCGUCGACCUCUGGCUCCCCUCCGGCCCUGACCUGCGCCCGUCCAACGCCGCCACUGUUGACCGUUGGUUCCGCGCCGCCGCCCGUUUAGCCGUCAGCGAACUCAGCAUCCAGGGCAAGUCCUUCCCCGCCGGCGGUGUCACCUCCUUGCCCAGCUCCAUCUACUCAUGCCGCACUCUCGCGUUUCUACAAAUCAAGAGCGUUGUCAUUCCUACUAUCCCUAGAAACUUCGAUGGCUUCCGUGCCCUCUCGACCCUGCUCCUCGAGCACGUCUCGAUCCAUACUCUCACCCUCGCCGCCAUCCUCGCUGCCUGCCCUCUUCUCCAGGUUUUUCAGAUGGAAGGGUUUCUUGGGGUGACUCGUCUUGAUGUUUCCCCGGAGAAGCUCCCGAAGCUCGCGAGCUUCGCUUUGUCUGAGUCUUAUGGUGCCCCGGUGACUGUCAACAUCGUCGCGCCGAAUAUCACCUCGAUCCUCUUCGUCGGCGAUCUUAAUCUUCUCUUCUGGAACGGUUCUCCUUGUCUGGUUGAUGCUACGCUGAGGAACAUCGCCAAAUUCAAGUUCAAGAGUGAGAGCUGCUGGCUGGGGCUUGUCUCUGCUGUUUCAAACGCUAAAAUUCUCACUUUGAACAAUUUGUUCUACCAGUUUGUGAUUCCGAGGAAGUUUGUCAAUGGAAUUCAUGAUGCCAUGUUCAAGAAUCUCCAUAAGUUGACCUGUGAGAUUGAUUGGGUUACUGGUCCUCUGCUUUCUAGCUUCAUCUGUAACGUCAAAGAGUGUCCACUGUUGGAGAGUCUCUGUAUAAGAUUUAACAGGGAGCUGAGGUUGAAGGCCAAGAACAAGAUGAAACGAAGUUUGGGUUUGUGUUAUUACAAAUCUUUUCUCCCUGCAGAACUUGUUAAAGCUGUGGAGGAGAAGUUUGAAAGGGACUAUGUGGAUCUGCCAGAAGUUUGUGGGGGACCAGGGAAUGCGUUAAAUUGUCUGAAGAUUCUUGCCAUUGAACACUUCAUGGGAACUAAGAAUGAAGUACUUCUAACAAAAUUUCUUCAGAAGAAUGCUGCUAAUUUGCAGAAAUUUACCAUUGAUGAUUUUUUUAUGCGUAGCAAUGAGGAGAUUCAUGAACUUUUAUAUCCCAUUCUAUCUAAUUCUGAUGAUGAGGAUGAUGAAGAAUAUGAUGAUGACUAUGAAGACACUGAUGAUGAUGAUGAUGACGAUGACGAUGGUGAUGGCGAUGAUGAUGAUGAUGACGACGACGAUGAUGAUGAUAAUGAUGAAGGUGAUGAUGAUGAUGAUGGUGAUGAUGAGAUGGAUUGGGCCCUAUAUGAAAAUCUCAACCAAAAUUUCCCAAUAGAUGCUCUAAGUGACAGUGUUGGAUCUGGAUAGAAAAAAAUAUUCAUUUUCUGGGAAUGGGAAAUUCUUUAUCUUUCUAAUGUCUGGGAUCUGGCCUGAAAGAUUGCCCGCCUGCUGGCAUUAGUAGCCAUGCUGUGGACUGCAGCAUUUUUGUAUUUCUUCUGGAAUGCAGAUUGACAAUCAAGGAAGGAGGCACUGAGUUUGAAUUCUUUUUGGUUUAAAAGAGUUCCUUCAAUGAUGGCCAUAUAUCAUAUUAAAAGACACCCCUAUAGCUUUUAGCAUUUGUAUGACCCAUUUUGUACAGCACUUUAUGUUUAGAAAUCUACCCAAAGAAAAGUUACGUCUUGUAAGCCUUAACAGACAGAUAUGCUGUUUUGUUAUAGCCUUGUAAAUCAAUAUAUAUAUAUAUAUAUAUAGUUAGGUUGUGUUUCAUAGAUGUUGCUUGAUGUCUGAGUAUUAUCUGAGCAUUGUCAAGCCUGAACUGAUACGAAGUCUUGUUAACGAUAUCCCUGCAUGCAAUAUAUUGAUAUUGAUCUGUCAAACUUAUAAGCAUUUUACUGCAGUCUGAUUUUGCUCAGCUAUAUUCUCUCCUUUAUGAU